CCUGGUCGAGGACCCACUAGGUCUCACAGACGGAGUGGGUUAGGAUAAUCAUAGCAUUAAUGGGAGUAUUGAGAGAGCGCCCUGGGGCGUUGGGUCCCUCGGGAAGAAAAGCUUCUGCUGUCGCCACUGGAGCGGUACCCAGUUCGUCCCGUCUUAGGUCCAGGAGGUUCCCAUGCUCGGAGGGUCUGGUGGGCAGAACAGAACCGGCGGUGCGCACGCCCUCUCGCGGCCUUGCGCCCAAUCGCUGAGGUUCAGUGUCAGGUGAUUCUAAGCCAUGGUUUUGGAACUCAAUAGUGAAGCAGAGCAAAUAAAUGAUGCAGUGCCUUGAUGGGACCGGUGGAGACAACAAGAAGCAAAGCACAGCUGAAACUUCAAAAUUCCACUGAGUGUUAGUAGGAUUUGGAGGGAGAAAAUAGACGGAGAGUCGAGAGGCCCAGAGAUGCAGAAGGGUUAGAGGAUUAGGGUUAGGGGUUAGGGUUUGGUGUUAGGGGUUCAGGUUGGGGGGUUAGAGGUUUGGGAGUUAGGUUUAGGGGUAUAGGUUUUAGGUGGCUGGGGUCGGGGUUAGGGCUGGGGUUACUAGGCUAGGGCACAAGUGGUUUAGGGUUAUGGUUAGGGUUAGAGUGAGGCUGAGGUUGAUUCCCAGUCUUGUGUACCGUCUCUUCCUUCACCAGAGUUACCACAUAUCUGUCGUUUGGUUGGAAACCCUGAUGGCAUAGUGGUUAAGACCCACCAGUGCUAACCAAAGGUCUGCAGUUCGAAUCCACCAGGCGCUCCUUGGAAACUCUAUGGGGCAGUUCUAAUCUGUCCUAUAGGGUCUCUAUGAGCUGGAAUCGACUCGACGGCGGUGGUUUGUUUUUUUUUGGUUAUUAUUUAGUUAGCUUUUCUCUACCCACUCUCCGUCUGCCUGGUGAACAUCAAGGAUUGUUUCUGUGUGUAAAUGUUUUCAUGAGUUUUUAUGAUAGUGGUCUCUUAGUGUAUAUGUCGUUUUGUGAUUGACUUAGUCAGCAUGAUGCGCUCCAGAUUCAUCCAUGGUGUGAGAUGUUUCAGAGAUUCAUCAUUGGUCUUCGUUGUCGUGUAGUGUUCCACUGUGUGUAUGUACCGUAGUUUGUUUAUCCAUUCCUCCGUGGAUGAGCACUUAGGUUGUUUCCAUCUUUUUGCUACUGUGAAUAAUGUCGCAGUGAACACGGGUGUGCAUAUGUCUAUUCCUGUGACUGCUCAUGGAAACCCUGGUGGCUAGUGGUUAAGUGCUACGGCUGCUAACAAAAAGGGUUAGGGUUUGAGGUUCGGGAUGUUAGGGUUAGGGUUGUUAGAGUUCUGGUUGUUAGGGUUUGGGGUUAGGGGUUGGGGUUAGGGUUUUGGGGUUAGGGAUGUUAGGGUUAGGGUUGUUAGGGUUUGGGUUAGGGUUUUUCGGUUGGGGUUAGGUGUUAGGGUUAGGUUUAGGGUUUGAGGUUAGAGUUUGGAUUUACAGGUUAGGUGUUAGGGGUUGCAGUUUGGGGUUUACAGUUUUGGGGGUUUAGGGUUUUGGGGUUUAGUCGGUAGGGUUUGGGUUAGGUUUUAGGGGUCAGGAUUUAGGUUUAGGGUUGGGGUUGGUGUUGGGUUUGUUUGGGAUAUGUGGUUUGGGGUAAGAGAGUGGGUGUUAGAGGUUUGGGGGUUAGAGAUUGAGGGAGUUAGAGGGUGAGGGGUUAGAGGGUGAGGGGGUUAGAGGUUGAGAAGAUUAUAGAGUGAGGGAGUGAGAAGGUGAGGGUGUGAGGGGGUAAAGGUUAGGGUUUAGGGUUAGAGGGUUUAGGCUUAGGGUUCAGAGGCUUAGGGUUAGGGGGUUAGGGUUUCAGGGUUCAGAGGUUGGGGUUGGUGUUGUGGUUAGGGUUAGAGAGUUAGGGUUAGAGGGUUAGGGUUGGAGGUUUAGGGUUAGAAGAUUAGGGGUAUGGUUUAGAGGUUUAGGGUUAGGGGUUAGGGCUAGGGUUUAGGGGUUCAGGUUUAGGGGUGUGGGAUGGGUCUGGGGUAAGGUUUUAGGGUUUAGGGUUAGAGGGUUAUGUUUAGGGCUUAAGGCUUAGAGUUUAGGGUUUCAGGACUUAGGGUUUAGGGCUUAGGGCUUAGAGCCUAGGGUUUAGGACUUAAGGUUUAGGGUUUAAGGCUUAGAGUGAGGGUUAGGGCUGGGGGCUGGGGUUAGGGUUUAGGGUUUAGUGUUAGGGUAUUAGGGUUAGAGGGUUAGAUGGUUUAGCGUUUAAGUUUAGGGUUUAGGGGUUAGGGUUAAGGGUGUUAGUGUUUAGGGUUUUGGCAUUUAGGGUGUUAGGGUUGAAUGUGUUAGGGGUAAGGGUGUUAGGGUUUUAAGUGUUAGGGUUUACAGUUUAGGGUUAAGUGAUAGGGUUAGGCUUAGACUCAUUCUUAGGUUUAGGGCUAGGGAUUUGAGGUUUAGGGUUUGGCGUUGGGUUUGGGGGUUGGGGUUAGGUUUAGGGCUAGGAUUAGAGGGCUAGGGUUAGAGGGUUAGAGUUAGAGGGUUAGGGUUUCAGGUUAGCGUUAGAGGGUUAGGGUUCGAGUGUUAGGGUUAGGGUUAGGGUCGUUAAGGUUAGGGUGGUUAGGGGUUAGGUGUUAGGGUUUAGGGUUUAGGGUAUAGGGGUUAGAGUUUGGGUUAGGGUUAGAGUUUAGGGCCUUGGGGGUUAGGACCUAAGGGCUUAGGGCCUUAGGGGCUUUGGGACUUAGGGCUUAGGGGCUAGAGUUAGAGGGCUAAGGCCAGAGGGCCAGGGUUAUGGUUUGAUUCCUGGUUGGCAAUUUUUUUCCUUCAAUAUUUUGUAUAAGUCAUCCCAUUGCCUUCUUGCCUCCAUGAUUUCUGCUGAGUAGUCCAAGUUUAUCAUUAUUUACUCUCCUUUUUUGGUGACUUCCUUUAUCCCUAGCCUCUCUUAAAAUUCUCUUUAUGUUUGAUUUUGGCAAGUUUGAUUAUUAUAUGUCUCGGUCACUUUCUUUUGAGAUCACCUUAUGUGGAAUUUGAUGAGCAUCUUUCAUGAUAUCAGGGAAGUUUUCUGCCAACAAAUCUUCAACAGUUCCCUGUGUAUUUUCUGUUAGCCCUCCCUGUUCUGGUACUGCAAUCACUCAUAGUUAUUUCUCUUGAUAAAGUCCCACAUGAUUCUUUGGAUUUCUUCAUUUAAAAUUCUUUUAUCUGGUUUCUUUUCAAAUAUAUUGGUCCCAAGAGUUUUAUCUUCUAUCUCAGUAAUUCUGCCUUCCAGUUCUUCAGUUGUGCUCUUCUUACUUUCUAUCGAGUUUUCUAACUCUGUAAUUUUAUUGUUAAUCUUCUGAAUUUCUGAUUGCAGUCUCUCUAUGGUUUCUUGCAGCUUAUUAAAUUUUUAAUUAUGUGCUUGAGUAACCUUUUUAAUUUCUUCAGCUGCUUUAUCUUUGUGUUCCUUGGCUUGUUCUGUAUUUUGCCUCAUUUCCUUCCUGAUAUCUUUGAGAGUUCUGUAUAUUAAUCUUUUGUAUUCUGUAUCCGGUAAUUCCAGGAUUGCACCUUCAUCGAGAAGAUUCCUUGAGUCUUAGUUCUGAGAGCUUGUUGAAGCAAUCAUGGGUCAGCUUCUUUUUUUUUUAUUUUAAUAAUUUUUAUUGUGUUUUAAGUGAAAGUUUACAAAUCAAGGCAGUCUCUCACAUAAAAACUUAUACACAACUUGUUACAUAUUCCCAAUUACUUUCCCCCCAAUGGGACAGCCCACUCCCUCCUUCCACUCUUUCUUUCCGUGACCAUUUUGCCAGUUUCUAAGCCCCUCUACCCACCCAUCUCCCUUCCAGGCAGGAGAUGCCAACAUAGUCUCAAGUGUCCACCCAAACCAAGUAGCUCACGCCUCACCAGCAUCCCUCUCCAACCCGUUGUCUAGUCCAACCCAUGUCUGAUGAACUGGCUUUGGGGAUGGUUCCCGUAGUGGGUAAACGGAAGGUGUGGGGGCCAUGAUCACUGGGGUCCUUCCAGUUUCAGUCAGACCAUUAAGUCUGGUCUUUUUAUGAGAAUUUGGGGUCUGCAUCCCACUGUUCUGCUCCCUCAAGGGAUCUCUGUUAUGUUCCCCGUCAGGGCAGUCAUUGGUUGUGGCCCGGCACUGUCUAGUUCUUCUGAUCUCAGGAUGAUGUAGUCUCUAGUUCAUGUAGUCCUUUCUGUCUCUUGGGCUCGUUAUUAUCUUAUGUUCUUGGUGUUCUCCAUUCUCCCUUGAUCCAGGUGGGCUGAGAAUCAUUGAUGCAUCUGAGAUGGCUGCUUGCUAGCAUUUAAGAUUCCAGAUGCCACUCUUCAAAGUGGGAUGCAGAAUGUUUUCUUAAUAGAUUUUAUUAUGCCAGUUGACUUAGAUGUCCCCUAAAACCAUGGUCCCCAAACCUCUGCCCCUGCUUUGCUGACCUUCGAAGCAUUCAGUUUAUUCAGGAAACUUCUUUGCUUUGGUUUAGUCCAGUUGUGCUGACCUCCACUGUGUUGAGUGUUGUUCUUCCAUUCACCGAAAGUAGUUCUUGUCUAUCUCUUUAGUAAAUACCCCUCUCCUACCCUCCCUGCCUCCCCCCCUCAUAACAACAAAGGAAUAUGUUCUUCUCAGUUUAAACUAUUUCUCAAGAUCUUAUAAUAGUGGUCUUAUACAAUAUUUGACCUUUUGCUACUAAUUUCACUCAGCAUAAUGCCUUCCAGGUUUCUCCAUGUUAUGAAGUGUUUCACAGAUUCGUCACUGUUCUUUGUUGAUGUGCAGUAUUCCAUUGUGUGAAUAUAGCAUAAUUUAUUUAUCCAUUCAUCCAUUGAUGGGCACCUUGGUUGGUUCCAUCUUUUUGCUAUUGUAAACAGUGCUGCAAUAAACGUGGAAGUGCAUGUAUCUAUUUGUGUAAAAGCUCUUAUUUCUGUAGGAUAUAUUCCGAGGAGUGGGAUUGCUGGGUUGUAUGGUAGUUCUAUUUCUAGCUUUUUAAGGAAGCACCAAAUUGAUUUCCAAAGUGGUUGUAUACCAUUUUACAUUCCCACCAGCAGAAUAUAAGUGUUCCGGUCUCUCCACAGCCUCUCCAACAUUUAUUUUUUUGUGUGUUUUGGAUUAAUGCCAGCCUUGUUGGAGUGAGAUGGAAUCUCAUUGUAGUUUUGAUUUGCAUUUCUCUAAUGGCUAAUGAUCGAGAGCAUUUCCUUAUGUAUCUGUUAGCUGCCUGAAUGUCUUCUUUAGUGAAGUGUCUGUUCAUAUCCUUUGCCCAUUUUUUAAUUGGGGUGUUUGUCUUUUUGUGGUUGAGUUUUAGCAGAGUCAUGUAGGUUUUAGAGAUCAGGCACCGGGCAGAGAUGUCUUAGCUGAAAACUUUUUCCCAGUCUGUGGGUGGUCUUUUUACUCUUUUGGUGAAGUCUUUAGAUGAGCAUAGGUGUUUGAUUUUUAGGAGCUCCCAGUUAUCUGGUUUCUCUUCGUCAUUUUUAGUAAUGUUUUGUAUUCUGUUUAUGCCAUGUAUUAGGUCUCCUAAUGUUGUCCCUAUUUUUUCUUCCAUGAUCUUUAUCGUUUUAGAUUUUAUGUUUAGGUCUUUGAUCCAUUUGGAGUUAGUUUUUUGCAUGGUGUGUGGUAGGGGUCCUGUUUCAUUUUUUGGAGGUGGCUAUACAGUUACGCCAGCACCUUUUGUUAAAAAGACUAUCUUCUCCCCAAUUAACUGACACUGGGCCUUUGGCAAAUAUCAGCUGCUCAUAUGUGGAUGGAUUUAUAUCUGGAUUCUCAAUAUUGUUCCAUCGGUCUAUGUGUCUGUUGCUGUACCAGUACCAGGCUGUUUUGAGUACUGUGACAGUAUAAUUUGUUCUAAUAUCAGGCAGAGUGAGUCCUCCCACUUUGUUCUUUUUUAGUAAUGCUUUACUUUUCCGCGGCUUCUUUCCCUUCCAUAUGAAGUUGGUGAUUUGUUUCUCCAUCUGUUUAAAAAAUGUCAUUGGAAUUUGGAUCGGAAGUGCAUUGUAUCUAUAGAUGGCUUUUGAUAGAAUGGACAAUUUUACAAUGUUGUCUUCCUAUCCACGAGCAAGAUAUGUUUUUCCAAUUACGUAGGUCCCUUUUGUUUUUUUUGCAGUAGUACCUUGUAGUUUUCUUGGUAUAGCUCUUUUACAUUUUUGGUAAGGUUUAUUCCUAAGUAUUUUAUCUUCUUGGGGGCUGCUGUGAAUGGUAUUCAUUUGAUGAUUUCCUCUUCAAUGUUCUUUUUGUUGAUAUAGAGGAAUCCAACUGAUUUUGUGUGUUUGUAUUGUAAUCUGAAACUUUGCUGAACCCUUCUAUUAGUUUUCUUGAGGAUUCCUCAGGGUUUUCUGUGUAUAAGAUAAUGUCUUUGGAAAUAGAGAUAAUUUUAUUUCUUCCUUACCAAUCUGGAUGCCCUUUAUUUCUUUGUCUAGCCCAGUUGCUCUGGCUAGGACCUCUAGCACAAUGCUGAGUAAGAGCAGUGAUAAAGGGGAUCUUUGUCUGUUUCCCGUUCUCAAGGGAAAUGCUUUCAGGCUCUCUCCAUUUAGGAUGAUGCUGGGUAUUGGCUUUGUAUCAAUACCCUUUAUUAUGUUGAGGAAUUUUCCUUCUAUUCCUAUUUUGCUGAGAGUUUUUAUCAUGAGUGGGUGUUGGACUUUGUCAAAUGCCUUUUCUGUAUCAAUUGAUAAAAUUAUGUGGUUCUUGUCCUUUUUUUAUGUGGUGGAUUACGUUAAUUGUUUUUCUAAUAUUGAACCAACCUUGCAUACCUGGUAUAAAUCCUACUUGGUUAUGGUGGAUUAUUUUUUUGAUAUGUUGUUGAAUUCUACUGGCUCGAAUUUUGUUGAGGAUUUUUGCAUCUAUGUUCAUGAGGGAUAUAGGUCUGUAAUUUUCUUUUUUUGUGUUGUCUUUAGCUGGUUUUGGUAUCAGGGUUAUUCUGGCUUCAUAGAAGGAGUUAGGUAGUAUUCCGUCCUUUUCUAUGCUUUGAAAUACCUUCAGUAGUAGUGGUAAGUCUUCCCUGAAAGUUUGGUAGAACUUUGCAGUGAAGCCAUCAGGGCCAGGGCUUUUUUUUGUUGGGAGUGUUUUGAUUACCUUUUCAAUCUCUUUUAUUGUUAUGGGUGUAUUUAGUUGUUCUACUUCAGUUUGUGUUAGUUUAGGUAGGUAGUGUGUUUCUAGGAAUUCAUCCAUUUUUUCUAGGUUUUCAAAUUUGUUGGAAUACAAUUUUUUGUAGUAAUCUGAUAUGAUUGUUUUAAUUUCAGUUGGAUCUGUUGUGAUAUGGCCCAUCCCAUUUCUUAUUUGGAUUAUUGGUUUGUUUUCCUGUAUUUCUUUAGUCAGUCUGGCUAAUGGUUUAUCAAUUUUGUUCAUUUUUUCAAAGAAGCAGUUUUUGGCCUUGUUAACUCUUUCAAUUGUUUUUCUAUUCUCUAAUUCAUUUAAUUUUGCUGUAGUUUUUAUUUUUUGCUUUCUUUUGGUGCCUGACAGUUCCUUUUGUUGCUCUCUUUCUGUUUGUUCAAGUUGUAGGGACAGUUCUUUCAUUUUGGCUCUUCUUUAAUAUGUGUGCCUUUAUUGAUAUAAAUUGACCUCUGAGCACUGCUUUCACCAUGUCCCAAAGGUUUUCAUAGGAAGUGUUUUCAGUCUUGUUGAAUUCUGUGAAUUUCUUUAUUCCCUCCUUAAGGUCUUCCAUAACCCAGUCUUUUUUGAGCAGGGCAUUGUGCAGUUUCCAAGCAUUUGAUUUCUUUUCCCUGGUUUUUCUGUUAUUGAUUUUUGCUUUUAUGGUCUUUUGUUCAGAGAAGAUGUUUUAUAAUAUUUCAAUGUUUUGGGUUCUGCAAAGGCUUGUUUUAUGACCUAAUAUGUGAUCUAUUCUAGAGAAUGUUUCAUGUGCACUAGAAAAGAAAUUAUAGUUUGCAGCUGUUGGGUGGAGUGUUCUGUAUAAGUCUAUGAAGUGAAGUUGUUUAAUUGUAGCACUUAGAUCUUCCGUGUCUCUAUUGAGCUUCUUACUGCAUUUCCUAUCCUUCACCGAGAGUGUUGUGUUGAAGUCUCCUGCUAUAAUUGUGGAGGUGUCUAUCUCACUUUUUAAUUCUGUUAACAUUUGUUUUAUGAAUGUUGCGGCCCUAUCAUUGGGUGCAUAAAUAUUUAAUACGGUUAUAUGUACCUGGUAAAUUGUCCCUUUAAUCUUUAUGUAGUGUCCUUCUUUAUCCUUUGUGGUGGAUUUAAUUUUAAAGUCUAUUUUGUUGGAAAUUAAUAUUGCCUCUCCUGCUCUUUUUUGAUUGUUGUUUGCUUGAUAUAUUUUUAUCCAUCCUUUCAGUUUUGGUUUAUUUGUGUCUCUUAACUCUAAAGCGUGUCUCUUUUAGGAAGCAUACAGACUGAUCGUGUUUUUUUAUCCAGUCUGCAACUUUCUGUCUCUUUAUUGGUGAAUUUAGUCCAUUUACAUUAAGUGUAAUUAUAGAUAAGUAUGAGUUUAGUGCUGUCAUUUUGAUGCCUGUUUUUGACAAUUUCAUUUUCCAUUUACUUUUUUGUGCUGAGUUUUUCUUUGUAGAAUGUGUGUUCUUCCUUUUUAUAGUAGUUGAAUUUAUUUUGGUGAGUCGUUAUGUUUAUCUUGGUUUUUAUUUUGAAGUAUGGAAUUGUUAGACCUUGUUGUGGUUACCUUAAUAUUUACCCUGGUUUGAGUAAGUAAAAACCUAAGUUGUUUCGCCCUGUAUCACCUUGGUUUCCUCUCCAUAUGUCAUUUCUAAGCCUCCUGUAUUUAGUCCCUCUUUUUUCACUAUCGUAAUCUUUUACAUAAUCACAUCAAUGAUUCCCUGUUUUGAGUAAUUUUUUUAAUUAAUCUUAUUUUGUUUUUGUGAUUUCCGUAUCUGGGUUGAUAUCAGGAUGUUUUGUUCUGUGACCUUGUGUUGUGUUGGUAUCUGAUAUUAUUGAUUUUCUGACCAAAGAAUUUCCUUCAGUAAUUCUUGCAGUUUUGGUUUGGUUUUUGCAAAUUCUCUAAGCUUGUGUUUAUCUGUAAAUAUCUUAAUUUCACCUUCAUGUUUUAGAAUUUUGCUGGAUAUAUGAUUGUUCGCUGACAGUUUUUCCUCUUUCAGUGCUCUAUAUAUGUUAUCCCAUUGUCUUCUUGCCUGCAUGGUUUCUGCCGAGUAGUGCAAACUUAUUGAUUCUCCUUUGUAGGUAACUUUUCGUUUAUCCUUGGGUGCUUUUGAAAUUUCUCUUUAUCUUUGGUUUUGGCAGGUUUGAUGAUAUGUCUUGGUGAUUUUCUUUUGGGAUCUAUCUUGUAUGAGGUUCGAUGAGCAUCUUGGGUAGAUAUCUUUUCAUCUUUCACAAUGCCAGGGAAUUUUUCUGCCAUCAGAUCUUCCACUGUUCUCUCUGUAUUUUCUGUUAUCCCUCCCUGUUCUGGAACUCCAAUCACACGCAAAUUACUCUUCAUAGAGUCCCCCAUGAUUCUUAGGGUUUCUUCAUAGUUUUAAAUUCUAUUUGAUUUUUCUUCAACUAUAUUUGUGUCAAUUGUCUUAUCCUCCAGCUCCCCCACUCUGCAUUCCAGUUCCUCGAUUCUGCUCCUGUGACUUCCUAUUGAGUUGUCUGAUUCUGUGACUUUAUUGUUAAUCUUUUGGAUUUCUGAAUGCUGUCUCUCUAUGGAUUCUUACAGCUUAUUAAUUUUUUCACUAUGUUCUUGAAUAAUCUUUUGGAUAUCUUUAACUGCUUUAUCCGUGUAUUCCUUGGUGUUUUCUGUAGAUUGCCUUAUUUCAUUUGUGAGGUCAUUCCUGAUGUCUUGAAGAAUUCUGUAUAUAAUUUUUUUAUAUUCUACAUUUGGCAAUUCUAGGAAUGUAUCUACAUCUGGGAAUGAUUUUGAUUCUUUGAUUUGGGGGUUUGUAGAAGCAAUCAUGGUCUGCUUCUUCAUGUGAUUUGAUGUCGACUGCUGUCUCUGAGCCAUCUAUAAGAUAUUGUAAUAUUUUCUUUUAUAUUUGCUCACUGAGUCUUAUCUUCUUAUUUUGUUUUGUUACAAGACACCCAGAUGGGCUACUAGAUUGUGGUAUCGUGAUUGAUUUAGCUUUUGAAUCACUUACGUCCUAUUACCAGCUUGCCUGAGCUGUUACCAGGUAUAUAAGUGUAUGAGUCCAUUCACUAUUCUUGAAUAGAAUCAGCUCAGGUGUCCUGAUAGCUGGUCACCUAGUGUGUGGUGUAGGCUCUCACCUAUUAUCUUAGAGGAGUAGUGGUGAUGGUUGUAUGCACCAGUUUCUAUUAGUGGCAUGGGGUCACAUUUCGAGGAGGGCAGGAUGCUGACAGCCUUCCUUCAAGUGACAGUGAGGUAGGUGUGGCUCUAUUCUCUAGAGCACUCUGGUGGGUGGGCUUUGCAGCUGUAUCUUAGGCACCCAAUGCUUGGGUAGGCGUCACUAUUCUCAGACCCCUCUAGCAGGUGGCUAGGUGAUGUGGGUGGAGUCUCAGCCCUCAGUUCACUGGUGUGGAUCAGCGAGGGCUCUGUUUAAUAGGUAGAGAGGUAUCUGACCUCCAAAACUUGCCUUUCCACUGCUGAGCUAAAACAAUUAUGGUCAGAUCUCUAUCAGAAUUGCCUUUACAUUGUAAUAGCCACCUAGUUACCUGUAGGGUGAAAGCCAAAGACUAUGGGUCUGUUAAUGCCUGGAUGGAGCUGAUUCUGUACUGUUAUUUCAGUUUAGGGAAGUCAGGGAAGGAUUUUUUCUUUGAUUGUUAAAUGCUGCUUUUCUCAGGCCAGGAGAAUGGGUUAGAAAAGAAAGAAGAAAAAAAAUCCAGCAGUGCACUUCACUCUCUGGCACAGAGAAUUCCAAUGUUAAUGAAGCUGGCUGGGGCAAUGAGGGGUGGAAUCAGAUAUAUAGAAGAGAGUAGCCUGGCAAAAUAUACAAAGUUACUUAUGUUGUUUGGUGAGGACUGUUUUUUCUGAGAUUCCAGAGCAUUGUGUCGCUCGUGUGUGGUGGCUGGAUCCCUGCUGAGACUGUCCCAGAGGGUUAGGGCUGCGUCCAUGCUCACACCGUCUCAGGAAGCCACAAUCGGCUCCCCCACACUUAGUCCAAAGCCCAGCACCAGGGUUUCCUUUCUGGGACGCUGCACUCCAGGCUCCAGAACCAGUCGCUGCUUCCCUAUAGUUUUUCGUUUCCCUGUCAGCCACGUCUGUGUGGAGCCUGUGUGUGCUGCCUGGGUCCCCUCUGAGGUUGGUCCUGAGGGUUGGGCCUAUAUCUGUUCUUCCGUGUCUCAGUAAGCCACAAUCAGCCCCACCACUCUGACACCAGGAAACCACGAGGGCUCAAGGCUGUGGCGUGGGACACUGGCUCUGGAAGUGGUCCCUGCUGCAGCGUGGCUUUUCGCUCCCCCGUCACUCAGGUCAACUCCUUAGUUCUGUGUUUGAUGGUCAGGGUUUGUAGAUUGUCCUUUAUGUAAUCAGUUCACUUGUUUUUUCGAGUCUUUGUUUCAAGAGGGAUAAGCGGAAUCUUCUACCUAGUGAGCCAUCUUGGUCCUGCCCCCAUGUCUGCCUCUUUAUGUGAUUUGAUAUUGACUGUUGUCUCUGAGCCAUCUAUAAGUUAUUGUAUUAGUUUAUUUUAUGCUUGCUUUUUGUAUCCUAGCUUCUUGCUUUGUUUAGUUUUGGUAUACCCAAAUAAGCUGCUUGAGUGCACUAGGUUGAUUAUUUUCACCUUUGAAGCUCUAAUGUACUAUCACCAGAUGGCUAGCACUGUUACCAGGCAUAUGAGCCUAGGAGUUCAUUUAUUUUUCUUGUAUGGAUUCAACUCAGGUGCCCAGGUAGUUGGUCAUAAAGUGUGUGGUACGGGCUCUGUCCUACAGUCUUAAAGGGGCAGGGGUCAUUGGUGUAGGCAGAAGUAUCUGGCUGCAGUAGGGGGUCAGGCUCUGAUCAAGGCAGGGGUCUGACAGCUGUGCUCUGAGUGUCUGUGAGGAAAGUGCAUCCCUGUUCUGUAGAGCACAUGGGUGGGUUCUGCAGAAGGGCAGUGGGUACCCAAUGCUUUUGGUUGUAAGUUCUGGGCGGUACUACUUAUCCUUGGAGCCCUAUCACAGGUGGCUAGGUAUUGUGGGUGGAGCCAGCAGUCCUUAUGCCCCUGAUGUGGGUAGGUGAAGACCCUGUUUAAUAGGCAAAGCAGUGUCAAACAUCAAAUACCCAUCUUUCCACCGUUCAGGUGAAACAGUUGCAGUCUGGCAACAAGGGCCUAUUCUCCUGAAAUGGGCCCACACAGGUCCAUGCUGGGGUGAAAGGUAUUCAAAGCCCAUGGACUGUUUGUGCCUGAACAAGAGCUGCUUCUGUCCUGAGCUCCCCAGCUUAAUUGAGCUGGCAGAUUAUCUUUCCCCCAGUUGUGAACUUAUACCUUCUUCAAGGAUGGAAAAAUGGCUCAGAGUGGUACCAGGGCCUAUCUCAGGCCCAGGGAAGUUGACAGCCACUGAAGCCGGCUUGGGGGCUGGGGGCGUGGUAAAAUAAACACAAGUAAUUAGCUUUUGCUGAGAGUGCCGUUCUUCUCUUGUUCUGGAGGUGUGAGUAGUCUGUGCAACUUGCUGUCCUUCCCUGAGCUAAACGCCUGUGGAACGCCACUGCCAGCCCCACUGCAGUCGCUCCAGGGAACGGUGCCUGAGGGUUCCUGGCUAUUCAGGUCCAGUAACUCCUCUCCACUUCUGAAUAGUCUCUCCCUCCCCCUGCCGCUGAGUCCAUUUUCUAACUUUACCUUUGAUGUUCAGGGCUCCUAGCUUCUCAUAAAUAUAAUCGCUUCACUUGUUUUUUCUGGUCUUUUUUGUAAGAGGGAUCACUGGUGGCGUCUCAAUACUCAAAACUUCAUCAUUUCUUCCUUUCACUUUAGCUACUCGACAUUCAAGAGCAACGUUCAGAGUCUCUUCCGACAUCCGUUUUGGUCUUUUCUUUCUUUCCUGUCUUUUAAAGGAUCUCUUGCUUUCUUCAUGUGUGAUGUCCUUGAUGUCAUUCCACAACUCGUCUGGUCUUCAGUCGUUAGUGUUCAACACGUAAAAUGUGUUCUUGAGGUGGUCUCUAAAUACAGGUGAGAUAUACUCAAGGUCAUAUUUUGGCCCCUUUUGACUUAUUCUAAUUUUCUUCAGUUUCAACUUGAACUCCCAUAUGAGCAAUUGACAGUCUGUUUCACAAUUGAUCCCUGGCCUUGUUCUGACUGAUGAUAUGAGUUUUCCCAUCUUCUCUUUCCACAGAUGUAGUCAGUUUGAUUCCUGUGUAUUCCAUCUGGUAAAGUCCACGUGUAUAGCUGCCGUUUAUGUUGGUGAAAAAAAAUAUUUGCAGUGGAUGAGUCACUGGUCUUGCAGAAUUCUUUCAUGAGAUUUCUGGUGUCAUUUAUUUCAUCGAUGCUGUAUUUUCCAACUACUUUUCCUUCUUUGUUUCCAACUUUAACAUUCUAAUGACCAGUAAUUAUCAAUGCAUCUUGAUUGCAUGUUUGAUCAAUUUCAGGCUGCAGAAGUUGUUUAAAAUCUUCAAUUUCUUUAUCUUUGGCAUUAGUGGUUGGUGCAUAAAUUUGAAUAGUCGUAUAAACUAGUCUUCCUUGUAAGUGUAUGGAUUUUAGCCUAUUAGUGACAACAUUGUACUUCAGGCUAGAUCUUGAAAUGUUCUCUUUGAUGAUAUGUAACGUCAUUCUUUUGACUCUAGUGGAAUAUCCAUGUUUGUAAGACUGCUCACAGACUGUUUCACCAGAGAGUUUUCUGGUACUGCAACAUCUACCACUAAUGUCUGUGAUCCCUGUGAAUUGGCAAAAUAAGAAUAGUGCUAUAGAUUUCUUCCAAAUACAGAAAACAUAAGUAUGAAAAUGUUCUUGCUGUUGAUUAUAUUCUUUACCAAUCUGUUUGUGUGGGAUUUUUGGUACUUCACUUGAAAAAUGAGUCCAAGGUACUGUGAUGUGAUUGUUUACUUUGUGUGGCCUUUCUAGCCAUGGUCUUAUAACAUCCACCCUGGUGCUUGGGCAGGACUGUGUGAUAGGGUAAUUGUGGCUCACCAAGGGGAUUGUUUAUUUUCCCUUCAAAGAGAACCAGUUCCAGAGCAAAGAGGAGGAUUCAACUCCCAUCAAGGAAGAACAGCCAAGAGCCGAGCGUAUAUUAUGGACCUGAGAUCCCUGCACUGAGAAGCUCCUAGAAGCAAGAGACUGAGAUAGAGAGAGGAAGCUGUAACCCUGAAGAUGCUUAAAUACAGACCAGAAGAGGAGUUUGGGGCUUGACACCUGACAUCUUAACACCAGUUCCUGUUUCUUGAGGAAGGAAGAGGUAAAAUAAAUCAGCGUUUACUGUUUCCUUCUCCAUCCCCGGAAGUCCUGAUGAAGACCCUCUCAGCUUCAACUUGAACGUGAAUAUGAGCAACUGAUCAUCUGUUCUGCAGUCAGCCCCUGGCCUGAUUCUGACUCAUGAUAUUGACCAAGUGAAGAGUGAUUCAGAGAAAAACAUGGGUAGAGUGUGACCUAAUUUCCAUAAAAACAAAGAAAUGAAUGUACUUACACGUGUCCCGGCAAAAAGAAGUGUGUAAAACGGUACAUAUGUAUCUUUGGACACUGGACACUUCAGGGGAGCAGGCAGGAGAUGCCAACAUAGUCUCAAGUGUCCACCUGAUCCAAGAAGCUCACUCCUCACCAGCAUCCCUCUCCAACCCAUUGUCCAGUCCAAUCCAUGUCUGAAGAGUUGGCUUCGGGAAUGGUUCCUUUCCUGGGGCAACGGAAGGUCUGGGGGCCAUGACCACCGGGAUCCUUCCAGUCUCAGCGGGACGCCCCUCCUGUGCUGUCCUCAGAAGGGCUCUUCAGGGACCGCACCCCUAGUUUGCGGAGCAGCAGAGCCUGCCCCAGUCUGGACCAGGGACUUUAUUUCUUCCACUCUCACCACUGGCUGAAGGCAGACUCCUGUCUCCACAGACUAAAGAGGAAUUAUCAAAAUGAGCUCGAAACUCUAGAUUUGAGUUAAGGAUCAUAAAUUAACACAGAGAAAUACAACUUUAACAACAAAGACCUGUUUGGAGCCCCAGUUGGAAUUAAAAAAAAAAAACUUGAACAGAGGGAGUGAUAAAGUCUUCCUUCUUUUGCCACCCUCUCUCGGUGGUCCCAAGCUUUCUCAUCUCCCACCUCACAAGACUGUAUCAACUGCUUUGAGACUUUUAGAAUAAAGAUCCCCAGGCAUAUCACUGCUGUUACCCUGUGAGGAUUUCCCCAGUGCUGGGUUAGAGUAAGACAGAAUCCUUCCAAGGCUUCCAGGGCCUGUGUACUGGACGGUCAGCACACGGAGCCUCAGAGCCCACUUCGUUUUUCCUGUAGUUGGGCAUGACCCCAGGGACAUGACCCUGAGAGUGCUGACACUUCCUGAAGCCAGUGACCCUCCCCCUGGGCUUCUCUCUGCAUGGGUCUCAGAAUCUCUGAGGCCAACUUGUACCCUCGGAAGUGUUUCUGCUGAAGGACACGUAAACAGCACUGUGGAUUUGUGUCCUGCAGUCUGCAAAACUGCCUCCCCUGAGUGGGGUGAGGAGCUACUGAAAUACUGAAAUCAUUGAAACUAGCAGAAGCCACAGCUCAUGGUGCUGGGAGAAAACUGGGAAGGACGGAGAGGUGAAGAGGCUAUAAAGGCCCAGUCAUGAAGGCGACCAUGGGCCAGGAUGUCCUGAAGUCGCAAAGCUGACCAAUGCUGAGUGCCCUAAAAGCUGCCACUCCUGUGCCCAUCUUUUCUUUCAAUGGACAAAGUCUUCCCCUGCUCUUAUGUGCCUGGCCUGGAAGGGCCUUUGACUUAUAACAUGAAGCAGCCUCCAGAGCCUCUUGGGGCAAGUGAUGGUCAAGGAGGCUCUGCCUAACCCCACCCUGCCCUUCCCACUUGUCAGAGGACCAGGAAUUUCAGUCUUCCAGCUCCUGGGCUGAUCUAGUGACUUGUAACAGGAUUUCGCUGGAACUGGAAGGUGUUGAAGACAGGAAGUACUCCUGGGUUUCUUCACCCAGCUGAAUGCCUAGUUCCUGGUCUUAUUACACGGCUUACAUUCAGGAUAAGAAGAGGCAUUUGGAGCUUUACGCAUGACCUCUUAGCAGAGGUUUCUGUUCAGGAGCGAAGAGGUAAAAAGAAAGCAGUGUCUACUAAAUCCUUUUCCAAGAGUCUCAGGAAAUUCUCACGAAGACCUUCUCAGGUAAGGACUGACGGGAAAUGCCUUGGUUUAAUAUUAAACUUUGCCCUUGACACAUUUUGUUUAUGGAGGGCAUAUACAAUGUUGUCCGCUCAAGGAAGCACUGUAAUUCUUAUCUAGACUUUAUGUAGAAUGAGUAUAUAUAAAACCUAAACUUGGUCCUUAAGCAAGGGGUUACCUCUCAGAGAAGGCCUAUGGGAAGGUUUCUACCAAAUUCUGUGGUGCUGCCAUUGCUCCAAGGAGCCCAGGUGGUGCCAAGUUUGAGCACUCGGCUGUUAACCGAAGGUUAGUUUUUUGAACCCACCAAAAGGCUCUAAGGAGUAAAGACCUGGCGAACUGCUUCCAUUAAGAUUACAAACCAGGAAACCCUAUCGGGGAAGUUCUCCUUUUACACUGGGCCACAAUGACUCAGAAACCCACUCGAUGGCACCUAGCAAUAUCAACAGGAAGCCGUUGCCCCACAUGUGCUUGAAAUGCCUCUCUGGGGAAGGUUGGCCUUCAGAACCAGCUCAUGGCCACACGGGAACUGAGACUCAUGUUUUGUUACCACACCUUAGUUUCAGUCAGUAAAUUUAUUUUCCAGUUUAUUCACUAGACUUGACUACAGACAUCUCUCAGGUAUUGUCAAAAUUAAUUCCAUUCUCUAAUAAUGAUUUGCCAGGAUGUAUUUCCAAGCGUUUCCAAGAGACUGGAAAAACUUUCCAAAGAGGCUUGUUCAGUGCCAUGUUGUGCAGUAACUACAGUGUUGACAUAGUAUAUUUAUCCACAUAGUUUCCACGUUUUCUGCUUUCCAUAAAUACAACUGAAAUUCCAAGUCUACCACCUGAAGUACUUCCUUUAGUGUUUCACUUAGAAGUCUGGUGGUGAUGAAUUCUCUCAGUUUUCCUUCCCCUAAGAAUGGCAUUAUUUGUGCUUUACUCCUGAAGGUAAUGAUUGGACAUAGAAUUCUGGGUUAAUACUUCCAUCUUUCAGGGUUGAAAAAAUGAUGUUUCACAAUCUUUUUUUUUUUUUUGGCUUCCAUGGCUUCUGAUAGUGAAUACAGAGUCAUUCAAAUUAUUUUUCUCAGGUGAAAUGUGUUGUUUUCUCUCUACCUCCUUCCUGAGUAUUUUCUUGACCUUUGUUAUUCUGCAGUUGAUUAUGAUGUAUGGUAUUUUUAUGCAAGUAACCCAUGUUCUAUAUAUAUAUGUGUGUGUCAACUGUUUUUCCCCUCCCGGGUAUGUCUGUGAGUACAGUAUACUGUUUUUUUCUUUUUACAUACUGCUGUUAAAAAAAAAAAAAAUUAGAGUAAUGUACUUACAAAUAUACUUGGGAUGUGGGGUAAGGCCCACUGGGUUGGCAAAAAACCCAUAACCCGCAGAAUAUUUUUGUGAAAAUUCGGUAUUGGGGCAUGGAAUUCUUUAACUUGCUGUGGUUUGCUGAACUUCUUGAAUCUGUAAGUUUAUGUCUUUCACCACAUUUGGAAAGUGUUCAGCCAGUAUUUUUUCAAAUACUAUUUUCUUCACCACACGUUUUGUCCACUUCUUCUGGAGUUCCAAUAAAUAAGCUUUUUGUCUAGUUCUUGAGGCACUGUCCAUUUUUUUCCAUAUUUUCCUCUCUGUUUGCAGAAUGGAUAUUUUCUACUGAUCUAUUUCAAGUAUUUAGUUUUUUUCUCUGUCAUCACCAUUCUGCUAUUGUGAAAAUAUCAACUGAAUUUUUGAUUUCUACGAUUGUACUUUUAACAUGUAAAAUUUUCAUUUGCAAAUAGCACCUAUUAUCUUUCCAUUUAUUUAAAAAGUGUCCCUGUUAUUUCUUGGAUUAGAAUAGCAUUUUAAAAUCUGUUUCUUAUGAUUUUGAGAGUACAAGUCCUGCUUAAAUUUUAUGGAGAAUUUUUUUGUUUUUAGCAGUCAAUUGACCCAGUUAUGUUCAGGCUCCAAGUUCUGUCCCAUCUUCUGUAUUCUAUGGUUCAAAUGUUAGUUCAAUUUUUGAAGGCUUUGCAGGUGUAUUUAGGUCUAACCUAUGUGAGCGCCACUCAGUAUGGAACCUUGAUGGCAUUCUAACCCAUAGUGCGGGUCUUAAAGGAUUUGAUAAUGCUUCUUAGGGUCAGGGCAAUGGAUACGCACCUGGGGGGUGAACCAGGAGUUCAUAGCAAGUCUGCAGAAUCUCUUUCUUGCACAGCCUCCUCUUUCUCUUCUGCUCUCUGAGUUCAGAAGGAGUGCUUUCCUGGCCCACUGGCGGGAAUGCUGGGGCUUUAAUCUCCUCAUUCUGUUGUGCACAUCAGUGACUGGUUCUGCCUAUGGGGCCAAAGCACCGGACAACCAGCCAAAAGGCUGGCACUUUGAACGUGUCAAGAAGCACCUCAGAAGACAAGCCUGGUGAUCUGCUUUUGAAAAGUCUCACCCUUUGAGGCAGAAUUGACUAGGUGUCAGUUAACAGCAGAGAGAGAGAAAAUGUAAUGGAGCUUUCUCUACAAUAUUUGGUUCUUCCAUACUCUGGUCAGAGAGAAGGAUUCUCCUCUGCCAGAGUUUCAGGUGUCUGCCCACCUGCCCAGCUGCCUGUCUCUCUCCUUUACGGACCUUCUAUCCCAUUUAUAUGAGAGAGGGCUUCUCUCGGGGCUGUUUCUGUCCACAACGGGUGUGCAGCUGUGAGAUUUGGGCUCAUUUAAUUUCAGCCUCUAGAAUGUUCAUACUUUAUGUUCUGGUUCUGCCCCGCCCCCAUCCACCUUCAACACUUUCCUUUGCAGAGUCCUGAGAUAGUGUCCCAUGCAUUUGUCCAGAUACUUAGUUGUCAGAUACCAGCAUAGCCACCAGGGGCAGUGCUGUUGUGGUUGAGGGGGGAGGGACUGUACACUGAAGGAGCUGCAAGACCUGGCUGCCUUGUGUGAGCAGGACGGGGGUGUGCUGAGGAGUGGGUGCUGAAGGUGCUGAGUCAAGGGGAGUUAAAUAUAAAGUUGGGUCAAAGAUAGUUUGUUGACAAGGAUUUAUUGCCAUAGCAAGGGUUCUGGAAAUGGGUUUAAUAUGCUGUGGGAUUGCUUUUGGAAGCUUAGAAAAGGCAAUGGCCCACAUUCUCUGAAAUGGAAAUGCCAGACCUGCUAGGUCAGAUGUUGGAAGAGGGAUUAAAAGCCUCCAAUAUGUGGGCAUGUCUGAGUUAGUCUUCUAUAAGACCAUUUCUUGGAGGUCCUGAAGGAUACCCAUUUCAUCAAAAGAAUAAGGAAUGCGGAGAUGAGGGGAGCACCAGCAAGAUAGAGCUUACCAAUAUGUAUACUUUGUAGGGAGUCCCUGGACGCCACAAACAGUUAAGUGCUUGACUAUUAUCUGAAAGUCUGGCAGUUUGAACGUACUCAGAGGGUCCUUGGAAGACAGUCCUGGCCAUCAACUACUAAAGGAUGAAAGCCUUAAAAACACUAUUGAACAGUUAGUUCUACUAUGCCCACAUGGGGUGGUCAUGAGUCAGAAAUGACUUGAUGACAACUAACAGCAACAAUUGUCUAUAGGCUCAGGUUGUUAGUGGGAGCUGGGCUGCCUAGUAGCAAUGCAAAUCAUGGGAUCCCAGCUCUACAGAGGCCAGGUGAAAGUACUUAACUGUCAGAAACAAGUUGUGUGUGAUUCCAAUAAUGGUCAGCAGGUCACAGUAGUAGUUAUCUAUUGGGGCAUAAUAGAUUCUCCCCAAACUUAGCAGGUGUGAGAUAAAUGGAAAAUUAAUAUUCAACUCAUUCUGAUAAAUUUGGAACUAGACAAAAAUUUUGGUAUCACUCAACAUAGUUUUCAGGUGAAGGAAUAAACUAGAAAAUUUAAAUAACUAGUAUAAGUAUAAUAAGAGAUUUUUCAAAUAAUGAUGAUAUAAUUGCAUACCUGAAUAAAAGACAAAUACAUCAAAAUCAAUGGUUUGUCUCCAGUAUAGACAUGAGGGUCUCAAAUUGGCAAGGGUGAGAAGGGCAGACCGUUCUCUUUCCCCUACUACUUGACUGGAUCAAACUGUGUUCAAAACUGUAAAAUAUUUAGGAAAACAUUGUUUUGACCAGAGCAUCAAAGGACCUCUAUGACGAAAACUAAUGUACUAAAAUACAUAAAAUGAAACCUGAAUGUAUGCAAAAAAUAUGCCAUAUUUUCAAAUGAGAAGUCUUGUCAAUGAAAUGGAGGUCCCUAAAACUAAUAUAUAAGUGGAAUGUAUUUCCAGUCGGAAUAUUAAGAUAGUUGUUUUUGAAUUGUAUACAGUAAUCGUAUGCUACAAAUAGUACAGUAGAUAGCAGAGGAUGUUGCUGGUGUUAGGAGACUUGGAGUCCAUUUCUGACUCAUAGUGAUCCCAUUUCACUGCCCCAUAGGGUUUUCUAGGCUGUGAUCAUUAUGGGAGCAGAACAACAGGUCUUUCCCCUCAGUGCCCCCUGGUGGGUUCGACCUGCCAAACCUUCUUUGGAUUAGCAGAUGAGCACUUAAUCACUGCAACACUACGGCUGCUUUAAAAGGUAUAGAGAAGAAAAACAUGAAAAAGCAGGAUACUGACACGUGUCUACCUCUUCAGGUAACAGAACAAAUUGAUAUUACAUAGCAUAGAAACUGACAAGUCGACCAAUGAAACAAAAUCUGCUAAGAAGUCACAAUAAACAUUGAUAUAAAGGCGCUAUUUUGAGAAAAUUAUAUUUAUUUAAUAAACGGUGCUGACUCAAGUGACCGUUCUGGGGGACAAAGUUUGCAAAAAUGUGAUACACAAAUGAUAGAUUUGGAAAAUCAUGUGAAAUGGAGAUGACAAGGCUUAAUAACAAUUUCCAUUUUACACAGAAGGAUAAAAGUUAAGCACGUGAAAAAUGAGCAGUGAAUUCAAAAAGAUCGUUCACAGGAAAUCCACAUGCCCAAUAAACAUAGUCCAAGUUGCUCAAAAACACUGGUAGUUAAGAAAAUAUCAAAGUCCCAGUGAAACUGGCACAAUUUAAAAAUCAACACCAUCUAUGGCUGGCUGGGCUGUGGGGAGAAGGAUACCCUGAGACAUGGCUGGAAAGGUGCUUUAGGACAGCCUAUAGGGGAAAGACAUGGCCAUGGCUCUGUACUUUUAAAACAUACUUUGAGCUGGAAAUCUCACUCUAUGGAGUCUAUUGCACAGAAACAGAUCCUGUAGUAUACAACUGAUAGUUAUUAUUAGUGUUGACCAAACGUUGACUGUACAUUGAUGGUUGAAUGAUAGAUAACUUAUGGUAAAGCUACAUCAUCAAUAAAUGAGUUGUAGUAGUUGAGUGGGAAAAAUAUCUGUGAAGUAUUAUUGAAGUAUUACUGAAAAAAUCUAGGUGCAGAGAAGUGUAUAUAAAAUGAGCACAUCUGGGUUAAACAAUAUCAAUUGUUUGAAUAUGCUUGGAUACCUGUUUAUGUUUAUGAGUGUUAUACACAUAAACGAUCUUUUUGAAUUCACUGCUCAUUUUUCACGUGCUUAACUUUUAUCCUUCUGUGUGUGUGUAUAAGUCUGUGUCCUUGUUUAAGCAAGGAUAAGAGAGACUACUUACCACAUUGUUAACCUGA